CAGUAGCCGCGGUAAUACGAGGGGGGCAAGCGUUGUUCGGAUUUAUUGGGCGUAAAGGGUGCGUAGGCGGUUUGGCAAGUCUUGUGUGAAAUCUUCGGGCUCAACCCGAGGCCUGCACGAGAAACUACCGGGCUUGAGUAUUGGAGAGGUGAGUGGAAUUUCCGGUGUAGCGGUGAAAUGCGUAGAUAUCGGAAGGAACACCUGUGGCGAAAGCGGCUCACUGGACCAUAACUGACGCUGAUGCACGAAAACUAGGGGAGCAAACAGGAUUAGAUACCCCAGUAGUCCCUGUCUCUUAUAC
rnacentral:rRNA from 1 species